UUCUCCUGGAAAACGGGUGGUAAUGCCGGAUGCUCCGACUCCUCGCAUGGGGUGUCGGGAAAGAUUUCAUCGGUAUGGGAUGGGGUCGCGUCCUAUCAGGUAGUCGGCGGGGUAACGGCCCACCGAGCCUACGACGGGUAGCCGGCCUGAGAGGGCGACCGGCCACAUUGGGACUGAGAUACGGCCCAGACUCCUACGGGAGGCAGCAGUGGGGAAUAUUGCACAAUGGGCGCAAGCCUGAUGCAGCGACGCCGCGUGCGGGAUGACGGCCUUCGGGUUGUAAACCGCUUUUGAUCGGGAGCAAGCCUUCGGGUGAGUGUACCUUUCGAAUAAGCACCGGCUAACUACGUGCCAGCAGCCGCGGUAAUACGUAGGGUGCAAGCGUUAUCCGGAAUUAUUGGGCGUAAAGGGCUCGUAGGCGGUUCGUCGCGUCCGGUGUGAAAGUCCAUCGCUUAACGGUGGAUCUGCGCCGGGUACGGGCGGGCUGGAGUGCGGUAGGGGAGACUGGAAUUCCCGGUGUAACGGUGGAAUGUGUAGAUAUCGGGAAGAACACCA
rnacentral:rRNA from 1 species